rnacentral:misc_RNA from 1 species
CGUACAAAUACGACUUUGGCAUUUUGCAAUGAAAAUGAUGCAUGCUAAAUUUUUGAUUCCUUAAUUAAUGAUUUGCAUAUAUUCAUUUUUUUUGCGUCACAAGUGCCGCUGAUGGGUGCGUCCGUCUUUCCUUUCUAGAGAGAGAUGGUCACCUGAAGAUGAUAUAGGCAAUAAUUUUCGAACGGCAUCCUGAAAAACCCAAAAGAAAUCAGACAAAGGAGUUUGCUUGCUUUUCUUUUCAUCUUCGAAAGUGAUUUUUGGAAAUCACUGGGGGGAGUGCUCGCAUUUGGACCGAAGCAUCGAUUCCAUGUGCGAUGAAAUCUGGGGUCACGCCUUGCUGCGAAUUGGUGUUAAAAUUAUUUUUACACAACAUUUCUGCAGUGAGAUUCUAUGUGCUACCCAUUUUUCUCCACAUGUUGAGUCUGCUUCUUUGAAAAGUGUUGGUGAGCUGAGAUUCGAGAAGAAUUGCAUUGCGGCUUCUUUUUGUUCUGUUUUGUUUUUCGAUUUUUUCAAGAAACUAGUUUUGAUAAUAAACUGUCUAAAACCGUUUUUCUGUGAAGAAAAACAACAUUUUAUUAUUUUUUGGAUCUCAAAUCAGA